UACGGAGGGUGCAAACGUUGCUCGGAAUCAUUGGGCGUAAAGCGCACGUAGGUGGCUUGUUAAGUCGGGUGUGAAAUCCCUGGGCUCAACCCAGGAAGUGCACUCGAAACUGGCGAGCUUGAGUACUGAAGAGGGUCGCGGAAUUCCCGGUGUAGAGGUGAAAUUCGUAGAUAUCGGGAGGAACACCAGUGGCGAAGGCGGCGACCUGGGCAGAUACUGACGCUGAGGAGCGAAAGCGUGGGGAGCGAACAGG
rnacentral:rRNA from 1 species